rnacentral:lncRNA from 1 species
GUGGUUCUACCGUUAGGUGUCAUUUAACCUCUUGUGCAGGUCUUUUCUCGAAAUGACGCACUUAGUUCUGUUCUCCCUUCAGCAUUCAUAUUUAUGAGAUGUGUCUAGAGCAAAGACACAGCAAAUAGCUCAUGGCAUUGGAUGGAUAAUGAAUUUUUCCAGUGAAUUCGCUCUCCUCAGUGGACACACUCCAGACCACUGGCAACUAGGCUGAAAAUACUGAUCAACGAAACCUGGUUCACAGUCCCUAAGUUGCACACACACUUACGGUAAGUGUUGUAUUCUGACCUUUCCAUCAGCUCUUCCUUGGUCUGAACACAUACAAAUGAGC